rnacentral:rRNA from 1 species
UACAGAGGGUGCGAGCGUUAUUCGGAUUCAUUGGGCGUAAAGCGCAUGUAGGCGGUUUGAUAAGUUUGAUGUGAAAUCCCAGAGCUCAAAUCUGGAAGUGCAUUGAAUACUGUCGAACUAGAGUAUAGGAGAGGAGAGUGGAAUUCCUGGUGUAGCGGUGAAAUGCGCAGAUAUCAGGAAGAACACCCGUGGCUAAGGCGGCUCUCUAGUACGGUACUGACGCUGAGACGCGAAAGCGUGGGGAGCGAACAGG